rnacentral:piRNA from 1 species
UCCAGGAAGCAAGGUGCGCAAGUGAG